GCCAUAUGAUGUGUAUGUUUGAUGAACGCUGUAAUGAUGACUCUACAUCUAUCACCCUAUAACUGAUGGCU